UUGUCCCGUGUCUCAUUUGCAGAUGCUAAGUAGUGGUGCCGCAGGUAACCCGGGUGCGAUUACCUGCUGCCUGCUGCUUACCAUUUGUACGUGAAGUUAUGCCCA
rnacentral:pre_miRNA from 14 species